UUAGAGUUUGAUCCUGGCUCAGGAUGAACGCUGGCGGCGUGCCUAAUACAUGCAAGUCGAGCGAACUGAUUAGAAGCUUGCUUCUAUGACGUUAGCGGCGGACGGGUGAGUAACACGUGGGCAACCUGCCUGUAAGACUGGGAUAACUUCGGGAAACCGAAGCUAAUACCGGAUAGGAUCUUCUCCUUCAUGGGAGAUGAUUGAAAGAUGGUUUCGGCUAUCACUUACAGAUGGGCCCGCGGUGCAUUAGCUAGUUGGUGAGGUAAUGGCUCACCAAGGCAACGAUGCAUAGCCGACCUGAGAGGGUGAUCGGCCACACUGGGACUGAGACACGGCCCAGACUCCUACGGGAGGCAGCAGUAGGGAAUCUUCCGCAAUGGACGAAAGUCUGACGGAGCAACGCCGCGUGAGUGAUGAAGGCUUUCGGGUCGUAAAACUCUGUUGUUAGGGAAGAACAAGUACAAGAGUAACUGCUUGUACCUUGACGGUACCUAACCAGAAAGCCACGGCUAACUACGUGCCAGCAGCCGCGGUAAUACGUAGGUGGCAAGCGUUAUCCGGAAUUAUUGGGCGUAAAGCGCGCGCAGGCGGUUUCUUAAGUCUGAUGUGAAAGCCCACGGCUCAACCGUGGAGGGUCAUUGGAAACUGGGGAACU
rnacentral:rRNA from 1 species